AUUGUUAGGCACAAUUAUGUGAUGGCAAGUGUACUGGCUGUAAGAGGGGAAAGAUUAGCAAAAGAGCUGUACUUUCUACAAAAUGCAGAAGGGUCUGGGUUGGCUCCAUUUGAUUGUUGGCUCUGCUUACGAGGAAUUAAGACAAUGGCUUUACGAAUUGAGAAGCAGCAGGGAGUGUGAAGUCUCUCAUAAGCCUGCCAUGCUUCAUGUCUCAUGCUAGCAUACCAGCUGAGGUUUUAGGGUGAAGUUGUUUUGGAAAUGUGGUGGUGCUUUUUGGGUUGUGGCACAAAUCUUGAAAAUAUACGCCAAGUUGGAAGGACAAUUUUGAUUUGUUUAUUUAGUUUUUAGUUCUUUCUCUGAUUUGUUUAUUCAGUUUUAAUUGA